CCCUACUGCUAUCGGGGUGGGACUAAGACAUGCGAGUUGUGCGUCUCUAAGCUAUGGUAGAGACGCAGCGUACGGCUCAGUAACACGUGGCUAACCUACCCUUAGGACGGGGACAACCCCGGGAAACUGGGGCUAAUACCCGAUAGGUGAGGAGGCCUGGAAUGGUUCCUAGUCGAAAAGGCGUUGAAACCAUGCUUUUCGACGUCGCCUAAGGAUGGGGCCGCGCCCGAUCAGGUUGUUGGUGGGGUAACGGCUCACCAAGCCUAUAACCGGUACGGGCCGUGAGAGCGGGAGCCCGGAGAUGGGCACUGAGAUAAGGGCCCAGGCCCUACGGGGCGCAGCAGUCGCGAAAACUCCGCAAUGCGCGAAAGCGUGACGGGGCUAUCCCGAGUGCCGUCCGCUGAGGAUGGCUUUUCCCCGGUGUAAUGAGCCGGGGGAAUAAGGAGAGGGCAAGACUGGUGUCAGCCGCCGCGGUAAUACCAGCUCUCCGAGUGGUAGGGAUGAUUAUUGGGCUUAAAGCGUCCGUAGCCGGCUUAGCAAGUCUCCUGUUAAAUUCAGCGACCUAAUCGUUGAGCCGCGGGAGAUACUACUAGGCUAGGAGGCGGGAGAGGCCGACGGUAUUCUCGGGGUAGGGGUGAAAUCCUAUAAUCCCGGGAGGACCACCAGUGGCGAAGGCUGUCGGCUAGAACGCGCUCGACGGUGAGGGACGAAAGCUGGGGGAGCGAACCGGAUUAGAUACCCGGGUAGUCCCAGCUGUAAACGAUGCGGGCUAGGUGUUGGGGUGGCUACGAGCCACUUCAGUGCCGCAGGGAAGCCAUUAAGCCCGCCGCCUGGGGAGUACGGUCGCAAGGCUGAAACUUAAAGGAAUUGGCGGGGGAGCACCACAAGGCGUGAAGCUUGCGGUUC
rnacentral:rRNA from 1 species